rnacentral:rRNA from 1 species
UCAAGUUAUUAAGGGUGCAGGGCGGAUGCCUUGGCACUAGGAGCCGAUGAAGGACGUGAUAAGCUGCGAUAAGCUUCGGGGAGUUGCACGUAAACUUUGAUCCGAAGAUUUCCGAAUGAGGAAACUCACUUAGAGUAAUGUCUAAGUAUCAUUAAGGGAAUACAUAGCUUAAUGAGGGGAACUCAGGGAACUGAAACAUCUAAGUACCUGAAGGAAGAGAAAGAAAUUCGAUUCCGUAAGUAGCGGCGAGCGAACGCGGAUUAGCCCAAACCAAUAAAGUUUUCUUUAUUGGGGUUGCGGACAUAUCAUAACGAAGAGGUAUCGUAAUUGAAGAGGUUUGGAAAGACCCACCACAGAAGGUAAUAGUCCUGUAUGUUAAACGAGAAGACUUCAGAUAUGAUCCAGAGUACCACGGGACACGUGAAACCCUGUGGGAAGCAGGAGGGACCACCCUCCAAGGCUAAAUACUACCUAGUGACCGAUAGCGUAUAGUACCGUGAGGGAAAGGUGAAAAGAACCCCGGGAGGGGAGUGAAAUAGAACCUGAAACCCUGCACUUACAAGCUGUGGAAGCACAUUUCUUGUGUGACCGCGUACUUUUUGUAGAACGGGCCAACGAGUUACGUUAAGUAGCAAGGUUAAGCACUUAAGGUGUGGAGCCGUAGCGAAAGCGAGUUUUAACUGAGCGUUCAGUUACUUGACGUAGACCCGAAACCGGGCGACCUACCCAUGAGCAGGAUGAAGCGAAAGUAAAAUUUCGUGGAGGUCCGAACCCACGAGCGUUGAAAAGCUCGGGGAUGACUUGUGGGAAGCGGUGAAAUUCCAAUCGAGCCCGGAGAUAGCUGGUUCUCCCCGAAAUAGCUUUAGGGCUAGCCUCAAGGUGAGAGAUACGGAGGUAGAGCACUGAAUGUCCUAGGGGGUAUUGCACCUACCGAAGACUAUCAAACUCCGAAUGCCGUCAUCUUAUACUUGGGAGUCAGACUGUGGGUGAUAAGAUUCAUAGUCGAAAGGGCAACAGCCCAGAUCGUCAGCUAAGGUCCCUAAAUGUAAGUUAAGUGGUAAAGGAUGUGGGAUUGCACAGACAACCAGGAUGUUGGCUUAGAAGCAGCCACUCAUUCAAAGAGUGCGUAAUAGCUCACUGGUCGAGUGAUCCUGCGCCGAAGAUUUCCGGGGCUAAAACUUACUACCGAAGCUACGGCAUCAGUAAUGAUGGGUAGGGGAGCUUCCCAUACGGGUUGAAGCAUGACCGUAAGGACAUGUGGACAGUAUGGGAGUGAGAAUGUUGGCAUGAGUAGCGAGAUGUGGGUGAGAAUCCCACAGGCCGUAAACCCAAGGUUUCCAGGGGAAGGUUCGUCCGCCCUGGGUUAGUCGGGACCUAAGCUGAGGCCGAAAGGCGUAGGUGAUGGACAACAGGUUGAUAUUCCUGUACUACCGAUAACCGUUUGAGAGAAGGGAUGACACAGUAGGAUAAGCUAAGCACACUGUUGGUUAUGUGUGCCCAAGCAUUGAGGCAGUCAAAGUAGGCAAAUCCGCUUUGAUAAUGCUGGGAUGUGAUGGGGAGCGAAAUUUAGUAGCGAAGUAGCUGAUUUCACACUGUCAAGAAAAGUCUCUAUCGAGGUUAAAGGUACCCGUACCGCAAACCGACACAGGUGGGGGAGGAGAGUAUCCUAAGGCCAGCGAGAGAACUGUUGUUAAGGAACUCGGCAAAAUGACCCCGUAACUUAGGGAUAAGGGGUGCCACCAUCAGGUGGCCGCAGAGAAUAGGCCCAAGCGACUGUUUACCAAAAACAUAGGUUUCUGCUAAGUCGCAAGACGAUGUAUAGGAGCUGACGCCUGCCCGGUGCUGGAAGGUUAAGGGGAUCUGUUAGAGCAAUCGAAGCAGUGAACUUAAGCCCCAGUAAACGGCGGCCGUAACUAUAACGGUCCUAAGGUAGCGAAAUUCCUUGUCGGGUAAGUUCCGACCCGCACGAAAGGCGUAACGAUUUGGGCACUGUCUCAACAACAGACUCGGUGAAAUUGUAAUUCCGGUGAAGAUGCCGGAUACCUGCGACAGGACGGAAAGACCCCAUGGAGCUUUACUGUAGCUUGACAUUGGGUCUUGGUACUACAUGUACAGGAUAGGUGGGAGGCUUUGAAACCAGGACGCCAGUUUUGGCGGAGCCAUCCUUGGGAUACCACCCUUGUAGUACUGGGACUCUAACCAUAGGCCAUGAAUCUGGUCUUGGGACACUGUCAGGUGGGCAGUUUGACUGGGGCGGUCGCCUCCCAAAAGGUAACGGAGGCGCUCAAAGGUUCUCUCAGUACGGUCGGAAAUCGUACGUAGAGUGUAAAGGCAAAAGAGAGCUUGAUUGCAAGACAUACAGGUCGAGCAAGGAUGAAAAUCGGACUUAGUGAUCCGGUGGUUCUGCGUGGAAGGGCCAUCGCUCAACGGAUAAAAGCUACCCUGGGGAUAACAGGCUUAUCUCCCCCAAGAGUCCACAUCGACGGGGAGGUUUGGCACCUCGAUGUCGGCUCAUCACAUCCUGGGGCUGUAGUAGGUCCCAAGGGUUGGGCUGUUCGCCCAUUAAAGUGGUACGCGAGCUGGGUUCAGAACGUCGUGAGACAGUUCGGUCCCUAUCCGUCGCAGGCGUAGGAAAUUUGAGAAGACCUGUCCUUAGUACGAGAGGACCGGGAUGGACGUACCUCUGGUGUACCAGUUGUUCUGCCAAGGGCAUGGCUGGGUAGCUAUGUACGGAAUGGAUAAGCGCUGAAAGCAUCUAAGCGCGAAGCCAACUUCAAGAUAAGAUUUCCCACCGUAAGGGUAAGACCCCAGAAAGACUAUCUGGUUGAUAGGUCGAAGGUGUAAGUGCAGCAAUGUAUUUAGCUUAUCGAUACUAAUAGGUCGAGGACUUGACCAA